GUUUCGCUUUCUGCCCCUCCGCGCCAUGCUGCCGCGCCCAGGCCGCCCCUCACGGCUCCGCGUUUAGGAGCCGGCUUGAGGCAAACGGGAGCAGACUUCCCCCAGCCUAGGCAGGAGAGAUGUUCACAAGAUGGAAUCACAACAGCACUCACACAUUUAAACUUCAUUACUUAUUGAUGGAAAGAUGCUGCACCAUGAAACAGGGGCCCAGGCAGCCGUGCGUCCUGCUCAGACAUUCUGCUGCAGAGAAAACAUGGAUUUUAAGAAUAUAUGACAACAGUAGAAAGAAGAAUGAAGAAAUUGCACUGUGGAAUGCAAGAGCUCUGUUACAGAAGAGACUAGAAGGUAAUAAGUGAACACUAAUUACAAAGGAUUAAGUUGUCUGUGUUGUAAACAUGCUGACAAGAAAAAAACAUCAUGAAAUCUAUAUCAUCACUGAGAAUGGCUUUUGCUGUUAUCAUAGGACUUCAGUUGUAAAGCAAGGUUAGUUGUAACACCGCACCGUGACAAAAAGCACAGCAAUGACAGCAGAGCAAAAUCUCAUACAGCAGUAAACGAGGACUUGCUCAAUUGCAACAGCCAUAGGCACAGAAACAAAGGAAAAGAAGCUGC